GUCGAUAUGGAAUAUCUGAAGUUUUUGUUAUAUGAAUUGUGUACGAAAUAGCUUUAUAAAUGUGAUAUUCGGGCUAUAAGCCUAGCAAGCAUUGUGCUGGUGAAUGUAAUCGAGCUUUAUGCCUAGCAGGCUUAUUGCCGAUGAAUAUAAAAUUAGACUUUAAGUCUAGCAGGCCUUGAGCCGGUCUGUAAUAUAGGCUUAUGCCUAGCAAGCUUUAUGCCAGUGAAUUAGUAAAAGUUUAUGCUUAGAAGAAUUCAUGCUGAUGUGGUAUUUGAAUUCAUUAAACGAGCUAAAUGGCCAGG
rnacentral:lncRNA from 1 species